GGAAGGAUGUGAAAAAUUGGGGCCAGCAGUUCAAUCUUCUAUAUAUACCCAUCUUACACUUUUGGAAGAGAAUGGUAGAAGUAAUAAAGUCUGAAAUGUGGUAGUGGAGAAUAGAGAGAUAGGCAGAGGGAAAUAAACAUAUACCAAGUAUUUGCUAAGCUGAACACUAUCUAGGUUUAUUUCAGCAUCACAACUCCUUAUCUAUGUAUACAGUUGACGUUUGACUGAUUUUUUUUAAAUGAAACACACAAACUUUAUUGAACGAAAGUAACAGGUAAAGUCAAACAGGCACUUACAUUAAGAGAAAAACUGACUGGAAGAACUUUUAUCUUAAACAUCUUACAGUAACCUCCUUGCAGCUAUAUUUAACUUGCAGUUGUAUUUAGGCUACAGCACUUUACUUGUCUCUUGUCAUUUAACCUUCACAAGAACCCUAUGAGAUAAAGCCUAUUAUUACCUCAAUUUUACCAGUGAGGACCUGAGCUCUGUGGCUGUGAAGAAUACAGCUCAUGCACAGGAAAUAUUUGGCUAAGACACGGCCACUUAUGAUGUCUACAUAAAUAACAGGAUCAGGAGCUGGGCCAACUAUGGGAAUGAAGAGGAAACUGGAAAAAGAACCUGUAACGCCUGAGAUCGCCUGACCACCAACCCAGCAGGAUAGCUGCUGGGGUCUUAUUAAAUUAGCAAAAAAGAAACUAAAAGUGAUUUGUCAACAUGUGUUAUCUAGAGAUGAUUCUAAGCAACUCAGCCUGGCGGUAAUGUAUUCCAUCCAAUUGAGGAGUUUGCAGGAAAAUAAAUCUACAGUGACCCAACAGAGUAGUAAAACACUUGUUUGAAAUUAUUUUUUGUAACUGUGCUCAUUUCAUGCCUGAAAAGAUGGUGGUAAAAAUCUCAUUGCACCAGAGGCUGGUUGGGGGGCUGGGGGGAAUGAAGACAUAACUGUUCUGCCCAGCUCUGAGGCAUGUUGAAGCAGUUUGCCUAUUGAAUUUGAUACAAUGAUGUGUAGAUGAAUAAAGUUAUCUCCGGUUCUGAAUAGGAUGGUGUCAGUGGGAGGGUAAGAAGGGGGGGAACUUGGAAUCUGAAAAGAAUUUCUUUUUUUUUUCUUUUUACUUAAAAAAAAGAAAAAAGAGAACUUGAAGGUCAGGGUCCAGCUGCCGGGCAAGAGUAGAACAUAACAAAAUGCUGGACAGGCC
ensembl:lincRNA